rnacentral:misc_RNA from 1 species
CCUAAGAGAUACGUGUUAUGUGAAGUGCUCACACAGAUUGUCUGAUGAAGAACGAGCAAAAGCGCGUCUGCGAAGCUGACAAAAGUCCCCUUCGUCUAGAGGCCUAGGACACCGCCCUUUCACGGCGGUAACAGGGGUUCGAAUCCCCUAGGGGACGCCAAUGCGCGGUAUGAGUGAAAGGCGUACCACUUAUCUGACGAGAGUCAGAGAAUAACUAAGCUAAUUCAAACGAGUUAUCUUACUUAUUAUGCUCUUUAACAAUCUGGAACAAGCUGAAAAAUUGAAAACAAAUCAAUAUAUCAACGAGGUAUAUUGGUGAGUCUCUCAAAAUCUCAAACCUUAAAGUUUGUCACGCAAAGUUUAUCUUUGAAAGAGACACUUUCGGGUUGUGA